GCCAGACUCCUACGGGAGGCAGCAGUGGGGAAUAUUGCACAAUGGGGGAAACCCUGAUGCAGCGACGCCGCGUGAGUGAAGAAGUAUUUCGGUAUGUAAAGCUCUAUCAGCAGGAACGAGACAAGACGGUACCUGACUAAGAAGCCCCGGCUAACUACGUGCCAGCAGCCGCGGUAAUACGUAGGGGGCAAGCGUUAUCCGGAAUCACUGGGUGUAAAGGGAGCGUAGACGGCUGUGCAAGCCUGAAGUGAAAGGCGGGGGCCCAACCCCCGGACUGCUUUGGGAACUGUACGGCUGGAGUGCAGGAGAGGUAAGUGGAAUUCCUAGUGUAGCGGUGAAAUGCGUAGAUAUUAGGAGGAACACCAGUGGCGAAGGCGGCUUACUGGACUGUAACUGACGUUGAGGCUCGAAAGCGUGGGGAGCAAACAGGAUUAGAUACCCCCGUA
rnacentral:rRNA from 1 species